CAAUAGCGUAUAUUUAAGUUGUUGCAGUUAAAAAGCUCGUAGUCGGAUUUUGGCUGAGAACGAUCGGUCCGCCGUUAGGUGUGCACUGAUUGGUCUCAGCUUCCUGGUGAGGAGGUGUGCUUCACGGCCACUUAGUCACCGUGGUUACUUUGAAAAAAUUAGAGUGUUCAAAGCGGGCUUACGCUUGAAUAUAUUAGCAUGGAAUAACACCAUAGGACUCCUGUCCUAUUUCGUUGGUCUCGGGACGGGAGUAAUGAUUAAGAGGAACAGUUGGGGGCAUUCGUAUUUCAUUGUCAGAGGUGAAACUCUUGGAUUUAUGAAAGACGAACUUCUGCGAAAGCAUUUGCCAAGGAUGUUUUCAUUGA
rnacentral:rRNA from 1 species